AUUGAACGCUGGCGGCAGGCCUAACACAUGCAAGUCGAACGAGUGGCGGACGGGUGAGUAAUGUCUGGGAAACUGCCUGAUGGAGGGGGAUAACUACUGGAAACGGUAGCUAAUACCGCAUACCAUCGGAUGUGCCCAGAUGGGAUUAGCUAGUGGGUGGGGUAACGGCUCACCUAGGCGACGAUCCCUAGCUGGUCUGAGAGGAUGAACAGUCACACUGGAACUGAGAAACGGUCCAGACACCUACGGGAGGAAGCAGUGGGGAAUAUUGCCCAAUGGGCGCAAGCCUGAUGCAGCCAUGCAGCGUGUAUGAAGAAUGAUUUCGGGUUGUAAAGUACUUGCAGCGGGGAGGCGUUACCCGCAGAAGAAGCACCGGCUAACUCCGUGCCAGCAGCCGCGGUAAUUC
rnacentral:rRNA from 1 species